GGGGGUGCUGCUGGAGGCCAGGACACUGAGUGGACAGAGCCCAGGUUCCGGCCUUGGUUCAGCCACUACGUACACCGCAGCACCUACAUCUGUUCAAGCACGUGCUUCCUGUGUCGGACGUUUGAGCCGCUUCUGGGGUGGUUUGGGCCCUUGUGUUUGCUGUCAGCCAAAUGUAACCAACAUCGUAUGCUCCUUCUUUGCCCACUUACUUGAUUAUUUCCUUAGAAAUAGUCUCAUCUCUGGCCCUUUUUAAAAGCCACCCAGUCCCAGAGUUCUGCCCUUUGCCCUCUUUCUCUUGCCAUCAGCUCUCCCUGGGCACCCCGAUCCCUGCCCUGCUCUCCCUCCAGAGGCCCCUGCUGGGCUGCGUCUCAGGAGGACCCGGGUCUCACGAUUCAGACAUUCAAAUUUAGGCUUUCGAUGUUCUCUUCAAAGAGGCUUGAAUGUGCCCUGAAAAGGUAGAAAGUUGUAUAUUAUUUUACAUUAACUGCUAAGUGUAAACAGUGAAAAUAAAACAAUUCUGAUUGCCCUGUUUUGAU